GAUCAUGGCUCAGAUUGAACGCUGGCGGCAGGCCUAACACAUGCAAGUCGAACGGUAACAGGAAGCAGCUUGCUGCUUCGCUGACGAGUGGCGGACGGGUGAGUAAUGUCUGGGAAACUGCCUGAGUGGAGGGGGAUAACUACUGGAAACGGUAGCUAAUACCGCAUAACGUCGCAAGACCGAAAGAGGGGGGACCUUCGGGUCCUCUUGCCAUCGGAUGUGCCCAGAUGGGAUUAG
rnacentral:rRNA from 1 species